rnacentral:misc_RNA from 1 species
AAGGAUCAUUAGUGAAAUAACCUGGGACUUGAUGUCCCAAACCUUAUCACAUCCACACACCUUUGUGCACUGUUGGACAGGCCUCAGGCAUGUCCUAUUAUUUUAUAAACAUUUUAUGAAUGUAAGGAAAGUGUGAAUUGAAUUAAAAUAACUUUCAACAACGGAUCUCUUGGCUCUC